rnacentral:rRNA from 1 species
CUUGACCCGUCUUGAAGCACGGACCAAGGACUCCAACGUGCDCGCGAGWCAAUGGGAGCNNNUAUCUAAACCCAAAGGCGAAGCGAAAGCGAAGGACGGACGGGCUCGGCUCCGGACGAGCUCUUCCGGCCCGUAGGGAGGAUGGGCGGCACUCAGCGGUCGCCCCGCACUCCCGGGGCGUCUCCGCCAGGCAUCGUAGUCGACCUCGCGUCCUCGACGGUGCCGGAGGCGCACCUCUAGHGCGCACGCUGGGACCCGAAAGAUGGUGAACUAUGCCUGGUCAGGACGAAGUCAGGGGAAACCCUGAUGGAGGUCCGCAGCGAUUCUGACGUGCAAAUCGAUCGUCGGAACUGGGUAUAGGGGCGAAAGACCAAUCGAACCGUCUAGUAGCUGGUUCCCUCCGAAGUUUCCCUUAGGAUAGCUGGCGCUCGCCAAAAGCGAAAGAGUCUCAUGCGGUAAAGCGA